rnacentral:rRNA from 1 species
UACGUAGGGUCCGAGCGUUGUCCGGAUUUAUUGGGCGUAAAGAGCUCGUAGGCGGCUCGGUAAGUCAGGUGUGAAAACUCUAGGCUCAACCUAGAGACGCCACCUGAUACUGCCGUGGCUAGAGUCCGGUAGGGGAGCAUGGAAUUCCUGGUGUAGCGGUGAAAUGCGCAGAUAUCAGGAGGAACACCAGUGGCGAAGGCGGUGCUCUGGGCCGGAACUGACGCUGAGGAGCGAAAGCGUGGGGAGCAAACAGG